rnacentral:rRNA from 1 species
AUUGAACGCUGGCGGCAGGCCUAACACAUGCAAGUCGAACGAGUGGCGGACGGGUGAGUAAUGUCUGGGAAACUGCCUGAUGGAGGGGGAUAACUACUGGAAACGGUAGCUAAUACCGCAUACUAUCGGAUGUGCCCAGAUGGGAUUAGCUAGUAGGUGGGGGAAAGGCUCACCUAGGCGACGAUCCCUAGCUGGUCUGCGAGGAUGACCAGCCAGACUGGAACUGAGAAACGGUCCAUACUCCGACGGGAGGCAGCAGGGGGGAAUAUUGCACAAUGGGCGCAAGCCUGAUGCAGCAAUGCCGCGUGUAUGAAGAAGGCCUUCGGGUUGUAAAGUACUUUCAGCGGGGAGGCGUUACCCGCAGAAGAAGCACCGGCUAACUCCGUGCCAGCAGCCGCGGUAAUUC